UACGGAGGGUGCAAGCGUUAAUCGGAAUUACUGGGCGUAAAGCGCACGCAGGUGGCUGAGUAAGUCGAUUGUGAAAGCCCUGGGCUUAACCUGGGAAUUGCAGUCGAUACUGCUCGGCUAGAGUAUGGGAGAGGGUAGUGGAAUUCCCGGUGUAGCGGUGAAAUGCGUAGAGAUGUGGAGGAACACCAGUGGCGAAGGCGGCUUUCUGGUCUGUAACUGACGCUGAGGCGCGAAAGCGUGGGGAGCAAACAGG
rnacentral:rRNA from 1 species